CACGUAGGGGACGAGCGUUGUCCGGAAUCAUUGGGCGUAAAGAGCGUGUAGGCGGCUCGGUAAGUCCGCUGUAAAAGUCAAAGGCUCAACCUUUGAAUGUCAGUGGAUACUGCCGGGCUAGAGUCCGGAAGAGGCGAGUGGAACUCCUGGUGUAGCGGUGGAAUGCGCAGAUAUCAGGAAGAACACCAACGGCGAAGGCAGCUCGCUGGGACGGUACUGACGCUGAGACGCGAAAGCGUGGGGAGCGAACAGG
rnacentral:rRNA from 1 species